CGCAGAGUGACGGGGCACAAGCCCCGGUAAUGCGGCAACCUGGUCACAAGCCCAG
rnacentral:ribozyme from 1 species